rnacentral:lncRNA from 1 species
CUUGGGAGCUUUGUAAAAUUAUACGUGUCUAUUAUAUAUAUAUUAGUUGCGGUAUAAAUGUACUGAACUGGGAGUUUGGCCUAGUGGUCUGUAGCAUGGUUUUAUGGGAAGAGGUUGUGUGUUCAACUCCCUCCUUCCCUAUUUUUUGCAUUUUCUUCUUUUCUUUUAAAAAAUCCAUGUUUAAUACCCAUAAUUUGAACCCAUGGAGAGUUGGAGACCAAAACAAUU